GGAGCUAACGCGUUAAGUCGACCGCCUGGGGAGUACGGCCGCAAGGUUAAAACUCAAAUGAAUUGACGGGGGCCCGCACAAGCGGUGGAGCAUGUGGUUUAAUUCGAUGCAACGCGAAGAACCUUACCUACUCUUGACAUCCACGGAAUUCGGCAGAGAUGCCUUAGUGCCUUCGGGAACCGUGAGACAGGUGCUGCAUGGCUGUCGUCAGCUCGUGUUGUGAAAUGUUGGGUUAAGUCCCGCAACGAGCGCAACCCUUAUCCUUUGUUGCCAGCGAUUCGGUCGGGAACUCAAAGGAGACUGCCGGUGAUAAACCGGAGGAAGGUGGGGAUGACGUCAAGUCAUCAUGGCCCUUACGAGUAGGGCUACACACGUGCUACAAUGGCGCAUACAAAGAGAAGCGACCUCGCGAGAGCAAGCGGACCUCAUAAAGUGCGUCGUAGUCCGGAUCGGAGUCUGCAACUCGACUCCGUGAAGUCGGAAUCGCUAGUAAUCGUGGAUCAGAAUGCCACGGUGAAUACGUUCCCGGGCCUUGUACACACCGCCCGUCACACCAUGGG
rnacentral:rRNA from 1 species